rnacentral:hammerhead_ribozyme from 1 species
AUCCAGCCGACGAGUCCCAGAUAGGACAAGAUGUGCGUCCUGGAU